GACGAACGCUGGCGGCGUGCCUAACACAUGCAAGUCGAACGGAAGUUUUUCUUCGGAGAAACUUUAGUGGCGAACGGGUGAGUAACGCGUGAGAAACCUGCCUUUCAGUGGGGGACAACAGUUGGAAACGACUGCUAAUACCGCAUAAUGUAUCGAUAGGGCAUCCUAAUGAUACCAAAGAUUUAUUGCUGAAAGAUGGUCUCGCGUCUGAUUAGCUAGAUGGCGGGGUAACGGCCCACCAUGGCGACGAUCAGUAGCCGGUCUGAGAGGAUGAACGGCCACAUUGGGACUGAGAUACGGCCCAGACUCCUACGGGAGGCAGCAGUGGGGAAUAUUGGGCAAUGGGGGAAACCCUGACCCAGCAACGCCGCGUGAAGGAAGAAGGCCUUCGGGUUGUAAACGUUCUUUAGUAGGGACGAAGAACGUGACGGUACCUACAGAAAAAGACAACGGCUAACUACGUAG
rnacentral:rRNA from 1 species